GAGCAGUGAGGAGAACGAAUUUGGCGAUAGAGCGGCAUGCAAGUAAAAUCUACAAUAGGAGUAUGUUUGAGGAGUUUGGUCGGCUCCUCAUUGAAGGGACGACGUACAAUGUAACUAACGUCGAGAGGUUGAGGAAGUACAUCACAACUCACAACAAUGCAGCUAAAGAGAAAAAUGGAGCAGGGUUGAAUAUUAGGUAACCAUAAACGAAGACCACACAGAGUUUACUUGUGAGUGUUGCCAGUUUGAGCACGCUAGGAUGCUAUGCAGCCAUGUCUUGAGGGUGAUGGAAAUACUACACCUGGAGGAGAUUCGUAAGAAGCAUGCAAUCAAGCGGUGGACAAAGGACACAAGGGGCAUACUCCCAAAGCACCUGGUUCAGUACCGAAAGGGCAAUUCAGUUAACUUGUUAUUCACGUGCAGGAACUCGACUCUAUACCUAUCACAUGUUUGUUUGUCUCGAAGCUCUGCUUGUGAGUGGCGCACCUUUGGCAGAGAAGAGGGAUGGUUUGGGUUUUGAGGACCAUAUGGCAGGUCUGGCGACCGGGAGAAUGGACGGCAGUGGUGAAGUCGCAUUCGUUGGGGACGACGGUGCUGACCAGUGCCAUAGUGGUGGGCAUUCAUUCAGUGUGAAUGCCCUUCAGGGUCUUGCAACUCUAGAUAAACAUAGAGGGGUCGGCAGACCGACAAACAGCAGGGGAAAGGCCCCAUACGAAGGUCUGAGUAUGCGAGCUAGGAAAAUGCAAGAAUUGCGGGAUGGAAAGACACCGAUGGAACACUUGCACAAGGCCACUAGGAGUUCCUAAAGAAUGAGUUAUGAAUUUUUGAUUUGUAGUAUGUGUUGGAAAUUCGAAUUGCUGGAAAGAUUAAAUGCGAGUGUCGCUGUGGCAUCACGCAAGGGCAGUAUAAAGAGUGCACGACAGCCAGCUGCUACCUUGCCUUCCACCAUUGUUGUCUAAUUCAAGAAUAAAAAUUGAAGCUAGCUUCUCCAACCGAUGGGGCGGGUGUUUGCUGAAUCCGGCUUCAGUGACACAGCCAAGAGCUGUGAAGGAGGCGAUUCAGUCGGCGGAAUCAAGGUUCAGUCAUCCGCCUCUUCGAUGAUGGACUCAGCGGUGACCGCUUGGAGUACAACACAGUUACUGCGCAAGACGACGGCGUGAUUGAGGAGGGGGAGGUGAUCCAACGGGAUUGCUCUCGACUUAGUGUGUUCAACCAAAAGCUGGACGAGGAGGGAGGACAAAAUUCAGUCGAAGAAGGCUUCAACGGGACAGUGUUGGUCUUUGUGUGAGUGUCAUAGCGUGAUGUGUGUACCAUUCUGACGCUGAGAGAACUUUGUGAGCGAACUAUAUUGACAUGUUCUGAAGAUGCACAUCUUUGUAUUUUUAUGUGGUCAGACAGCGGAGAGCUGUAGAUUGGGCUAUAUUGUGCAUACACUGAUUAUGUCAUGUGGUACGUCUGGUGUAAUGAG